rnacentral:rRNA from 1 species
AUAUGAGUUUGAUCCUGGCUCAGAAUGAACGCUAGUAGUAUGCUUUACACAUGCAAGUCGAACGAAAAUUAAUUUUUUCGUGGCGAACGGGUGAGUAUUCGCAGAAUUUUCCCUUUCAAUUCAGAACAAAAAUUUACUUGAUUAAAUUAAAAUACUGAAUAUUUAAAAGGUUAACUCCGUUGAAAGAUAAAUCUGCACAAGAUUAGGUUGUUGGUAAGGUAAAAGCUUACCAAGCCCGCGAUCUUUAGUUGGUCUUAGAGGAUGAUCAACCACACUGGAACUGAAAUAAGGUCCAGGCUGACACGUCGGCCAGCAGUGAGGAAUAUUGGACAAUGAACGAAAGUUUGAUCCAGCAAUACUAACUGGGUGAUGACGGCUUAUUUAAGUUGUAAGAUCCUUUAAUUAAAGAAGAUAAUGACAUUAUUUAAUUGAAUUUAGUCCUGGCUAAUACUCGUGCCAGCAGCCGCGGUAAUACGGGAAGGGCAAG